CACGUAGGGUGCGAGCGUUGUCCGGAAUUAUUGGGCGUAAAGAGCGUGUAGGCGGUUCGGUAAGUCCGCUGUAAAAGUCCAGGGCUCAACCCUGGAAAGCCGGUGGAAACUGUCGAACUAGAGUCCGGAAGAGGCGAGUGGAAUUCCUGGUGUAGCGGUGAAAUGCGCAGAUAUCAGGAGGAACACCGAUGGCGAAGGCAGGUCUCUGGGCAUUAACUGACGCUGAGGAGCGAAAGCGUGGGGAGCGAACAGG
rnacentral:rRNA from 1 species